UAGGGAGAGAUGGUUUAACUUAUAACAUGCUGAACGAUAUUCAUAAUCAUUGGAAAUUUGCUGAAACAGUGAGGAUCAAGUGUCUUGGGGUCCCUACUGUUGACAUGAAGAAUGUAUGCAGGCAGCUUGAGGAUAAAACAUUUGGAAAGAUCAUCCAGAGGCAUGGUGGUACACUUAUUUUGUACAGAGGCAGGAAUUAUAAUUGCAAGAAAAGGCCUGUAAUUCCUUUAAUGUUGUGGAAACCUCAGGAACCUGUUUAUCCAGGUUGAUUAAAACUACUAUUGAUGGUCUAAGCAUCGAAGAAACAAAAGAGAAGAAAAAGAGACGACUGGCUGUUCCUGCUCUAACGAAACUCGGUACCAUUUGUUUCUUACUGCUGGCUGCCGGUAUUUGACUUGCUUUUACGUGGUUAUUGAUCACAAAUAAAAUUUGCAGCCAAGAAUGGGUAUGAUAGUAGUUUAGUACCCAUGGUUAGAGAUGCUUUUCUGGUCAGUGAGCUGGUGCGUAUAGACUGCACUAGACUUGAAAGAAGUGAUUACAAGAAAAUAGGCUGCAAGCUCAGGGACCUGGUUCCCUGUAUCCUUAUGGCAUUUGAUAAGGAGCAGGUUGCUGUGUGGAGGGGAAAAGACUAUAAGCCUCCAGAGGAUGGGCAUUCUUCACCGAUCGGGAGUUUUUUGAUGACCUAAGCUGUGAUACGGAUAGAUCUGAUAGCUCUGAUGAGGGUAAGGAUCAAUAGGUCUUCAUCUGUAUUGUAUGUGGUCACCCUAAAUGAAACCAUUUUCCUUAUAUAAGAAAUGAAAAUGGUUGAAAGUAUA